rnacentral:misc_RNA from 1 species
GUGGCGUCGACCCCCUUACCCCUUUCCAGUUCCUCAUAUAAUUGGGGGAGAUUAUGACAUUGUGCCUGGUAUCAGGCUCCCUGGAUAUGGAGUUCCUGGACAAUCAUUACCUCGGAUUCCACGGCGACACAUUUUCAUGCCACAUUAUGAUUUGAGAGGACGAUGAGUACCGAAUUCAAGUUCUCAAUCUAGGCAGUUUUUGUUGUAGUUUUGGGU